AAAGAAGAAGUGGCUCACUGCGAUUCCAUUUUUGGCAUCGGGGAGGUCGGAGAGGCUUGGUGGCAGCAGAUCGACAGCGGCGACCGACGGUCGGAGAUGGGGAAGAUGGUGACGAUGGCGACGACAGGGGGCCUCCGGGCUUGAUUCCAUUGACGAGGAGGAGCAUGGUGUCGAGGCGGGCCUUCUGAGCUUCUCGAAGAGGCGAGGGGAGGCCGCAGGCUAUGGCUACGACGGACGGCGGCUUGGUCAUGACGGCUCGGUCGUGGCGAGCAGAGGCGAGGAAGAGAGCAAGGGAGGGAAUGGGGGGGCUAGCUCGAUGGGGACGGCUCUUCUGAGCCUAUCCCACUCACCAAGUCGGCGGGGAGGCCAGGCAGGCAGGAGGCGUGGCGCUUUCGCGAGCUCGCCGUCCAGUGCUUCUCCUCUGCCUUCUGCCAAGAGGUAGAAGCACGGGUGCCCCUGGUGGGUUGGGCCGACCAAGUAGGCGACAGGUAAGACUUUUCUCUCUCAUUUUAUUUUUCUGUUUUAUUUCUUUUGUAUCUGUUACAUUUGUGUUUAAGCAAAUAAAACAACCCAAUUGGUAAAACCCGAAAAAUAAAUAUGGGGUAUAUUUGGAAUAUUUCCAACCCCAUAUAAUUAUUUCAGCAUUUUUGAGUGAUUUAAAAUAUUUAUAGUUAUUUUGUUUUAAUAUUUUAGUGGCUUUUGUUAAUUGUUUAAAAUGUCAUAAUUGUUUGAAAACAAAAAAUGCAUUGCAGAAAUGUUCUUUCAACCAAUUAUAGAAGAAUAUGAACAUUUUUGAAAAUCACUUUGGUUCCUUGAAAAACACUACUAUUUGAAUUUGUUUUGAUAAAUGAGUUGCUAGGGUUUUGCUAGUCCAAGUUUGACAACUUUUGGGUUUAACACGAUGCAUGAUGAUGAUGCAGCUAAUCACAAACAAUUAUUCCAGGGCUGUGACAACUCACCCCCACUAAACAAGAAUCUCGUCCCGAGAUUCAGGCGUAGUUGGGAAGAGGAAAAGGGGCACUAGACUAUGGGAAUCUUCACGAUCCAAUUGCUCUUCUUGAAGGUGUUGAUUCAUUGCAUCAGGUUGAUCUUGGCAUCUUUGUCUUUGAGGUCUUCAUCUAACGCGACAACAAGAACAGGAGGACUCUACAAGACUCGAUCUUUUCGAAGAUCGGGCAACUCAUGAUCGACUCAUAGAAUGAGAUAUAGAGACGUCCCUUUAGCUGAAACACAACACUCAUGACAGAAACGAGGAAGUGGGGCAUAUGACAAAGGUUCAAUUGGUAGGCAACAAUCCCACGCUUAAAUUAUAUGGAGACGAGGGUUCAAAGUAGCGAGGAUUAUGUUACCCUUCAUACCAUAACGGGGCACCAUAGGAGGGUGACUCGUAGAGUUAUUCCCUUAAUUGGCAAAAUGAAUUACUUUUGAUACAGAGAUCAUUGAAACUCUUCAUACGAGGGUAAGGCAAUUCAUAAAUGAUUGUUUGAAGGAAUUUGAAAGAAUGGCAUACUCAGGUUGAAAAGAAACUAGGGUUAAAGAAUAACUCGGCGAACGGAAGGCACAUUCCAAUUACUACCGAGGAUAUAACCUAGUGUCUGAGCAUGCUCUCAAGAACUUGAGCAUCUCCAUAUUAUUCAAUGUUUACCAACAUCCGUGCCAAGAUCUUGGUGUCACAUCUUACUACUAUGAUGAACAGUGAUGGAGGAUGCAAAUGCAAAGGAAGACAACACUUGCUCAGAUUUCACCUUAGCUAUGCCAAGGAAACGAAAUCUAGAUAAUCGACCGAGAGACAUUUAGCACUCCGAUUCUAAUGUUCUCCUUGAUGUACUAGCACAACCCAAUUAUAGGUCAUGCUUGAUAUCUAGCACAUCAAGUAUAGGUCGGACUUCGGGCUCAAAGGGGAUCCAUGAGGAACAACUUCCAGAAUAAGUCAUACAAAAACCUCACGGAAGAUGACUAAGAUCGCUGAUGCAAGAUAUUAUAAUAUCAAGUCUUCCGGCUGGGUGUGUUAGCCAUUACAUCACUUUACCGGGUUACAUAGAGACCAAUAUUAUAAUUCUUGGGGAAAGUUCCAACCAUUGUAACUGCCUGAGAUUCAGCUCCGGUUGGUGACACGAUGCUUCAGACUCAGCACGUCUGAAAAGAAGGUUUGCAACACAAAUUGACGAGAUAACGUUGCGAGAUUCUCAGGAAAUGAACUAUGGAAGCCAACUCCAAAACAUGAGCUGGAUUGCAAGACACGUGUGAACACACUGCCCAAGACAAUGAUGAGCACAUGAAAAGUCUUACAACAAACACUACCGUGUUCUGGUUUGGGAACCAUCAUUGCGGAUAUCGAAGCUAUGUGCAAGUCCGUCUGGGCCCUUCGGGAAUAACACCUAACUUCUUUUCCUUGAACAAAUCAAUCAGUGGCUUGGUGUGCUAGGAGAUACAUAUGGAGUGAAGAUGACCAGUCUAUUAGACCAUAGAACACUUCGCACUUGCAUGAUUGACUUGGGAUGAUUCUGAAGAAACAAAUUAACUUUUCUCGAAUUCACGGCGGCAACUUGCAUCAGAUGCACAUGAAUUAGAGGAAGUCACUUCUUACACCUAACAUAUACCUCGUGCUCGAGACACGAAGACAAUGUCUACAAUGUUUCCAGCACUAGCUUAAUGUCCAACAUAGAUCAUGGAACAAAUGAGAAUGUUGCCGAAGGGCUCAACAACAAUUCAUCAAGAUACCCAUAUAAAUGGAUUUCCACAACUAUGUGAGCAAGAUAAUAGCAUUGGUCAGAUCAAAGAAUAUAAUGGUGUAUGCUCAGAGAAAUCCAUGAGUAAGACACCACUACGAAAGUCUUUGGUUCUGAGUUUGAUUUGACAAUAGCCCAUACUCAAAUCAAAAUUGGACAAGAUAAUAUAUGCAACAAUUGAUCACAUGAAUCAGCUGAUGACAAUAUCAUCUUCUUCAGACUCACAAAACAGGAAACAUAUCCUUUUUAAAUGAGCUAAGUUUAGGCGAAGCUUUUAUCUUCCAACUCUCCAACUUGUUAUUUAGCUUAACCAACUAGCUCGGGGUAUCCAAUACGGAUUCUUGGAGAAGGGGUUGGUUUAUAGAAAGACCAACUUGAUCACGAGCUCUAUCAUAACAGUCAGGAAACAACCUGGUAAUACUUCCGAGAAGAUAUUCGGAAAAUCACGAACUACCGAUAUAUUAUUAAGCUCAGGAACAAUCUCGCUUUUUAGGGCAAGAUGAUGUGAUCAAUAGAGCGAGAGAUUGACAAAAUCCUAACUCAUUGAUCGAAAAGUGCACCAUGAAACAUGGACUAGGUAGCACGGUUAAUCUUAGGAUGACGAUUCAAUCAUCAUCACCAUACGAGUGAAUUUAUUGUCCAUUAACUACUAAACAAUGGCAUUGCUAGGAGUAUUGAUUUCACACAUCAUGGUUCACUUGUCGAUAUUCCGGUUACAACCAACACGAAAACAAAGGGAUGAACAAUGAUAGCGAGAAGUAUCACUACAUCAAGAGUUCCUAAGAGAUGGUGCAAUUCUCACAACACUCUUGACAAAAAGAGGUUAAUACUCCAAGAUAGAACAAAACAAAAGCUGGGUUGGCAUUUUGAUCUGCAGAGUAUAACUACUUUGACCCAAUCCAAUAAAUGGAUGAGGUACUGGAGUUUACUUCUCCCAGUCAAUUGGAAAUAGCACACCUUGACAAACUACAGGAAUAACAAACAUCGAUGACACGAAUGCACAACUACUCUUGACUAACCUCUCAAUGAUGAAGGUCAAAAUACAACUAGAUAGGGCCAACUCAAGAGCACAUGAUUUAUUGAGUUGUGGAUGCAUAGAUUAGCAUGUCGAACGAGUUCAACAUAAUUCUUCCAGAUAACCCAUGCAGAAGGGCGGAGUUGGCAGAAUCACAAUAUGGACUAGAUAACUCAUCACGAGCACUCUUGUUAUGAUCUUUAGUUCACGGAGAACUUCUGCCAAAAAUGAUCCAUGGUGUUGGAAGAAUGAUAUACCAUGAACCUUGGAAACUACAACAUGGUUACUAAUCAUUCUAAAGGAACUAGCAACACUAUCAACAGAAGUGAGCAGAAUGAUCCUUGGAUUCAAGAAUCCCAGAAAUAAAAUACCUACAAACUAAUUAACAUCACGAGAUGUUUUCAAAAAUGAUGGCCAGAAGUAUCACACUAGAGACAUAAAGCACAUCUAGACUAUUGGGUGGUUUUCGAGGUGACAUGGUUUCCUAAUACAUCAACAAUAGGUCGAGGUAAUAGAGUACCUCAUCACGAUGAUUAGUGUGCUUGGUCUAGCCAAAAGACAUUCACUCGAGAUGAGAGGAUUUGCAAUUGCACCAGAUUAUUUAGAAACCUUGGAAAACUCGGACAGCAUAACGAUUAUACGACCAUGAAAUAUGAGGCAACCUGCAAGAAAACUAACAACAUAACAUUGAAUUCUUAUGGAGACACUGAUCCAAGAAGACAACAAUUUUCCUAUAAGUCUCCAGCAUAAUAACUCGUCAUCCUAAUGAUUAGAUGAGAAAGCCUAAUUCUUAAACCCCGUAGAAUAAAGAAGAGGAUGACUCAGAAUAAGAAUGACACAAGGAAAGGAGUAAAAAGAUCCUUACGUUCCCUUCCACAAACAAUUCCCUUAUAUAACUAAAGAGUUGCUAGACUCAACAUCGACCAGUUUGGCUUUGUUAUCCUACAGGCAGUCAAGCUGUGAUACCAAAGCUGUCAGGACCCCGAUCCUGAGUCAUAAGAACCCAGCCUGUAACACAUCACAUCACUUUGCGGCCUCACGCACGGUAAACUCCACGGCUGCCACCUUACCUUGGCCGGGACCGUUUGCGUCUUUUGGCUCACGUAUAUGAAUAUGUUGCUAGUGUUCAAACGGGAAAGAACCCGGGUCGACAUGACUAGUUAUAAACCCAAGCGGUACAUCCAUACAGGGACAUGCAUACAUAACCCAGCAAGGCAGGUGUCGAUCAACAACGUGUGUAGACGAGUCGUAGCAAGCUACAAGGACUCCAUUACACCGCGUGACAUUUCCCCGAGGGGACAGACCCAGCAGCAAAGAAGUAUACACGCCGGUCAAUCAAUGUGUCUAGAGCAGUAGCAAGCUACCAAGGCUCGAUAGAAGCACAAAGAGGCAUUUCCCUGUAAGGAGUACUACUAAAGGCACACAACUAGGUGUCGAAUCCCACACAUAUAAUGCAUUUCAUAACAUACACACAAUAUGCACGAUAUGUGUAGAUACAACAUGGCAUCACAACAUAACUCUAUGACUCAAGCUUUUAUUAAGGACUCAUAAGAACCAACAUAGUGUGAUAUUACAAACAGGGGCCUCGUGACCCAUCACUCAAGUCAUACAAACAUCAAGCGGAAGCAAAUCAUGUCUGGGUAGAGACAUCUACUAAAAGUGGCUGGAAGAGCCUGAAAAGCUACUACGACCCUACCAAAGGAGCCAGACCUCUGUCUGGGAUUCCCAAGCUAUUCCGGUCAACAUCGAACACAUCGCGUAGAAACCUUUGCUGAGACUAAAUUCUUCUCUGCAAAAACAUAAAUAAAGCAACCGUGAGUACAAAGGUACUCAGCAAGACUUACAUCAGAACAAUCUACAUAUGCAUCCUGUUACAAUGAAAGGAUUGUGUGUUUGAUUGCAGCAAGCCAGCUUUGACUCUUGGCUAACCUGUACUACGACUACAAGCUCUUUCUUUGAGGUGGGAUAGCGCACGCGAGUCCACAUAUUCACCAACCAAUACCCCCCUAUGGAUUCACCCUCGUCUCCCUACGAGAAAGCCUUCCAUAGCACUCACACUUAUCUUGCAUGUUUUAGAGUAUCCAUUUAAAUUGUCUAUGUACCACGUAAUGUUUCCAAGUAGUCCAUAUCCGAGGACGUGGCUAUUUUAACAGAUUAAAUCGCCUUGCAGGGGUAUACUUCUUCACACAUGCUCUCACCACUUAACACCAUAUGCACAUCAUGCAUCUCGGCAACCUUCAAGCGCAAGCACUGGCGUGGGUGUCAGCCACGACCGUUAACCACACAAGACCCUAGUCAAGGUUUAUCGCCUAUUAGAGACUGAACCCGCAAGGAAGUCCGGCCGAGGUUUCCUCUACGGCCCCAAACGAUGUGCGCAGGGUUCCCAAGCCCACCAUCCGGGUGCCACUUGGUACACCGUGCCACUGUGUAUCUACCAUAGAGAAGCCUACCCCGUCGGGCAGAGCUAAACACGGUCGCCAACACUUUUCCUACAAACACCAGAAACUAGUUGCAACUCCUGGACAGAGCUAUAGGCGAUUAAUAAGCCAAGAGGGUCAAUUAGGUAUCCCAAUGUGUGGUAGUAUCUUGUCUUGGAUAACAUACAUAGAACUCAGUUUUUAAGGACGGUCCCAAUGAGACAACUCACCAUGUACUCCUACAUGGCCUCUCAUCGCUACCUUUACCAAAUCAGAUUCACACUUUUACUCGCAUACUGUAGGACAUGAUCACAACCAUUCCGAUUCAUCAUCCAGAUGGAUCAGACCCGACACGACUCUAAGCAUAGCAGGCAUUGUAAGCAAGCAGGGAUGAGUAAGCACAAAAAGGCUCAAGCACUUGCUACUCAUGCUAAGUGGUUUCAACUAUUUACUGUGACAAAAUCAGGUCAUGCAGAGGAAUGGGCUCAACUACCGAUAACAUGUACACUUGAAUCGUGUUUGUCCUAAUGCAGUAAAAGAGAGCAGGAGCGAGACAGUGGGUUUAUAUCAAUAUGCUCAAGGGGGUUUGCUUGCCUGACACGUCUAAAGAUAGCAUUGUGUCUUCAUCAAUGUCAACGAUCACUUCGUCAGAACCAUCUUCUAUCGGGAGGGAACAACACCGGAAAACAAGAAAGGAACAACAAUUACUUCUCGAAAAUGCAACACUACGAUGCAUGAUCAAGAAAUGGAGAUGAAAUUUGACAGGGCCAAUAUAGCUACCAUUUCUUAGGUUGAAUCAGGAUUCAAAGAUCACUUCAACAAGGUAUUUUCCGAAUACCCUUUUAAUUGAUUCGACCUGAUGCUCAGGAUUAACUUGUUUUUAACAUGCAUGAAGAUGGCAAUUUGAGGUACUAGUUUUGUUAGCUCAAUGUUUGAUCAUAGUAAUUGAAGUGGAAUUCAAAUAGGAAUCAAAUUCCAACUCCAAACUAUUUAUUAAAUUUACCCUAUUCAUCAUUUUUCCUAUUUGGUGUUGUUAACUUUCUCAAACCAGCAUGAAAAUACCAUGAUCAGAUUUUUAGAAGUUUUAGGCAUUUUAUGGAAUUUAUUUUAUAUUAGAAAAUCCUUUAUUGCGUCACAGUGACGUCUCUGGUCAACAGGGGCUGGGCCAGGUCAAACCUGACCAGUGGGGUCCACUGGUCAGUGACCAGGGGCCAAUCCCCGAGUUGACCAGCCCCUAACUGGGGUUUGACCCACCUCGGGCCCCACUGUCAGCGGCUAGGGGGGUGUUAGUGGGUUAAUUAGGCUGGCCACGUUACACCUCGUCGGAAUUUCGCCGGCGACGACCAAAACAGUGGCGAGUUCUCGCCGGAGUUGAUCAAACUCACGUUACCGACAUCGGUUUUGGGCGUGGUUUAGUUCUACGGGUAGCUAGCAAAGCGCCGCAUCCAAAGGGGAAGGAGCAGGACCAAAUGGUCACCGGAAUCCACGCCGGCGACGAGGUCUGCGGUGGUUGGGACUCGGGCUUCAUCGGGCAUGGGGUUGCGGGGCAUAGGGAGUCCGGUUGAAGGGAUCAGAAGGUUCCUGGAAGCUCCAGGAGCUCGUUCCCGAGCUCGAACACGUGAGUGGGGCACCACAACGACGGCGACAACAUGGCCGGCGAAGAGAAGCUCUCGGCCAUGGUGGGGAACGGGGCUACGAUGCGGCAGAGCGAGGGGAAAGAGAGGGUAAAGAAGAAGUGGCUCGCUGCGAUUCCAUUUUUGGCAUCGAGGAGGUCGGAGAGGCUCGGUGGCAGCUCAUCGACGGUGGCGACCGACGGUCGGAGAUGGGGAAGAUGGUGAUGAUGGCGACGACAGGGGGCCUCCGGGCUUGAUUCCAUUGACGAGGAGGAGCAGGACGUCGAGGCGGUCCUUCUGAGCUUCUCGGAGAGGCGAGGGGAGGCCGUAGGCUAUGGCUACGACGGACGGCGGCUUGGUCAUGGCGGCUCGGUCAUGGCGAGCAGAGGCGAGGAGGAGAGCAAGGGAGGGAAUGGGGAGGCUGGCUCGAUGGGGACAACUCUUCUGAGCCUAUCCCACUCACCAAGUCGGCGGGGAGGCCAGGCAGGCAGGAGGCGUGGCGCUCUCGUGAGCUCGCCGUCCCCUGCUUCUACUCUGCCUUCUGGCAAGAGGUAGAAGACAGGGGUGCCCCUGGUGGGCUGGGCCGACCAGGUAGGCGACAUGUAAGACUUUCCUCUCUCUUCUUCUUUUUCUGUUUUAUUUCUUUUAUAUCUGUUACAUUUGUGUGAAAGCAAAUAAAACAACCCAAUUGGUAAAACCCUAAAAAUAAAUAUGGGGUAUAUUUGGAAUAUUUCCAACCCCAUAUAAUUAUUUCAGCAUUUUUGAGUGAUUUAAAAUAUUUAUAGUUAUUUUGUUUUAAUAUUUCAGUGGCUUCUGUUAAUUGUUUAAAAUGUCAUAAUUGUUUGAAAACAAAAAUGCAUUUCAGAAAUUUUCUUUCAACCAAUUAUAGAAGAAUAUGAACAUUUUUGAAAGUCACUUUGGUUCCUUGAAAAAAACUACUAUUUGAAUUUGUUUUGAUAAAUGAGUUGCUAGGGUUUUGCUAGUCCAAAUUUGACAACUUUUGGGUUUACCAUGAUGCAUGAUGAUGAUGCAGCUAAUCACAAACAAUUAUUCCAGGGCUCUGACAUCUGGUCCUUCACUUGUAUUUGUUUGAGAGAUUGUUAUCUGCAAUAGCAAUUCACUUUAAAUGAAAAUUUGUUCCAAAGUGAUGAAUGUACAGGAAAGAUGUAAUAAAAUCUUUUAUGAAGAUUAUUGGAUAUUAAACUUGAUUCUUUGCAAUAGUUUUGUGAUAUAAAGAUAGUACUAUGUGAGUUAUGUUGGUAAGUAAUUAUGCUCUAGUAAGAAUAUUUGUGUUAAGGUUUGUGAUUCCCUAUGCAUGCACAUGAAGUCAAUAAUUAUGCUAUAAAUUUACAUCCUACUUGUGUUGCAUUAUUCGGUGUUAGGUAUGUUUAAUGUUCACUUAUGAUGAUUUUUUUCCUUGGUUGGGCGCUUCUCAAUCUAUUUGCUAGCCUUCACUUGUACUAAGCGGGAAUACUGCUUGUGCAUCCAAAUCCUAGAGCCAAAGUUGUGCCAAAUGAGUCCACCAUACCUACCUAUACGCGUCAUUUCAACGCCGUUCGAAAGAAAUUUACAAGUUCCAACUAUAAUGUUCAAACCAAAAUUCUGUUUUGUCUGCUUGUACCGCUCAUGAAGCGGCGAAGGGUGGCCAGUAUCUUUCAGGUUAAAUAGGUUAUUAUCAAGAUGAGUGUUUAUUCACUUAUCAUUUCACGAGAGCAUGGCGGUAAUAGGGAUGUCGAGUCCAAAAAAUAAAACAAAAUUAUUAUUUAAUGUUGUCAAAUAAUAAAUUCCUUGGGAAGUGUGGAUACGACUAGUUGUGGAAUGUGAAAGAAUGGUGGAAAAAGGAAUAAUCUUUAUUUUCAGUUUGGAAACCGCCUAUAAUUUGUUUAGCAUGGAGGAUAUUGGAAAAUCUAAGUAGUUCUCGUUGACAGGAAAAACAUGCCACCUAAUUUUUUUAUCUCUAAGUUUUUCACUUUGUGCUCUCGCACCUCUACAAAUCAGUGCUUCCCUCUGUGAUAGGCCUAUCUAUUUACUUUAUGCCAUUUUUAUUUUGCAAUUUGAGUCUCCAUCUUCUCUCAUGAAGGACCAACUAAGGAACACUAUUAUCAUACUUGAGCAUUGAAUGUAGUUAAUACUUGAGUGUGUUGCAUGAAUGGAUCAAUGAUAGAGCAUGAUGGGCUAGGGAUAAUGUUCUUUAGCUUUGAUAUUUUGAAUAACUUGGUUGCUAUUUGAUAUGCUUGAGUAUUGAAAUUUUCAUGUCAAAUUAUAGACUAUUGCUUUGCUUCAUCUACAAAUCCAUAUGUCCAUGCUGAAAGAAAAACAAUAUGAUCCAUAUGUGAGGCAACAUUCCACAUCAAAAAUUCGGUUUUUAUCAUUUAACCACUCGAGGACGAGCAAGAAUUAAGCUUGGGGAUGCUGAUACGUCUCCAUCAUACCUAUAUUUUUUGAUUAUUUCAUGCUGUUAUAUUAUCAUUCUUGGAUGUUUUAUGAUCAUUUUAUAGAAACUUUAUAUCAUUUUUGGAACUAACCUAUUGACAUAGUGCCUCAUGUGAGUUGUUCUUUUUUCCUUUUUUUUCCUUUGCAGAAAAUCUAUAUUAGAUGAGGUCCAAUUGCCAUGAAACUUUAUGAAGAUUUUUUGGACCAGAAGGAAACUUGGGAACGAAGAAUGAGUAGCAAAUGAGGCCCAGGGGGCCACUAGACAUUAGGGCGCGGCCUAAUGUCUAGUGGGGACCUCGGGCACCUCCUCGACCUCCUCUGAGCUCUGUAAAUACCCCAAUAUUCAAAAAAGCCUAGAGGAGUUGUCAAAAAAUCGUUUCAGCCGCCGCAAGUUCCAGAGCCACGAAGUCCAAUCUAGAGCCUAUUUCGGAGAGGAACACAAUCAUAGAUGGGUUCACCAUCCUCAUCGGCACUCCUCCGAUUAUGCAUGAGUAGUAAUUAUCAUACCUACGAGUCUGUAGGUAGUAGGUAGGUAGCUUUCAUGUUGGGGAACGUUGCAUGGGAAACAAAAAUUUUCCUACGCACAUGAAGACCUAUCAUCGUGAUGUUCAUCUAUGAGAGGGAGAUCGGAUCCACAUACCCUUGUAGAUCGCUAAGCGGGAAGUGUAAAGAAACGCGGUUGAUGUAGUGGUACAACUUCGUGAUUCAAAUCACCGACGUCCCAUGAUCCGUCCAACGACCCAUCCCGAUCUAGCACCGAACGGAUGACACCUCCGCGUUCAGCACACGUACAGCUCGAUGACGAUCUCCGCCUUCUUGAUCCAGCAAGAGAGACGGGGAACUAGAUGAGUUCUCCGGUAGCGUGACAGCGUGCCGGUGAUGGUGAUGAUCUAUUCCUGCAGGGUGAUACGUCUCCAUCGUAUCUACUUUUCCAAACUCUUUUGCCCUUGUUUUGGUCUCUAAUUUGCAUGAUUUGAAUGGAACUAACCCAGACUGAUGUUGUUUUCAGCAGAAUUGCCAUGGUGUUGUUUUUGCGCAGAAAUAAAAGUUCUCGGAAUGACCUAGAAAUUUACAAGGAUUUUUUGUGGAAUAUAUAAAAAUACUGGCGCAAGAAUCACCUGGAGGGACAGAGCCAGGAGCUCACAAUCCCACCAGGCCCGCCCCCCUGGCCGGGCCUAGCAGGCUUGUGAGCCCCUCGUGGCUCCACCCCCUCCAAUUCCAGCUCUAUAUAUUCUCCUUCGACCGAAAAAAAAUCAGGGAGAAGAGUUCAUCAUGUUUUAUGAUACGGAACCGCCGCCACCACCUGUUCUUCUUCUGGAGGGCAGAUCUGGAGUCCGUUCUGGGCUCCGGAGAGAGGGAAUCGACGCCUUCAUCAUCACCGACCAUCCUUCAUCGCUAAUUCCAUGAUCCUCUUCACCGUUCAUGAGUAAUCUCAUCGUAGGCUUGCUGGAAGGUGAUGGGUUAGAUGAGAUCUAUCAUGUAAUCGAGUUAGUUUUGAUGGGAUUGAUCCCUAGUAUCCACUAUGUUCUGAGAUUGAUGUUGCUACAACUUUGCUAUGCUUAAUUCUUGUCACUAGGGCCCGACUGCCAUGAUUUCAGAUCUGAACCUAUUAUGUUUUCAUCAAUAUAUGUGUCUUCUUGAUCCUAUCUUGCAAGUUGUAGUCACCUACUAUGAGUUAUGACCCGGCAACCCCGGAGUGACAAUAGCCGGAACCACUCCCGGAGAUGACCAUAGUAUGAGGAGUUCAUGUAUUCACUAUGUGCUAAUGCUUUGUUCUGGAUCUCUAUUAAAAUGAGAACCUUAAUAUCCCUUAGUUUCCAUUAGGACCCCGCUGCCACGGGAGGGAUGGACAAUAGAUGUCAUGCAAGUUCUUUUCCAUAAGCAAGUAUGACUAUAUACGGAAUGCAUGCCUACAUUACAUUAACGAACUGGAGCUAGUUACAUAUCUACCCAUGUUAUAACUGUUACAUGAUGAAUGUCAUCCGGCAUAGUUAUCCAUCACCGAUCCAAUGCCUACGAGCUUUUCCUACUGGUCCUUGCUACGUUACUUUGCCGCUACUGCUGUCACUGCUGCUACUGUUACUGCUACUGCUGUCACUGUUGCUACUGUUAUCGUUGCUACCGUUGCUAUCAUAGUACUUUGCUUCUGAAACUUUGCUGCAGAUACUAAGUCUUUCAGGUGUGGUUGAAUUGACAACUCAAAUACUAAUACUCGAGAAUAUUCUUUUGCUUCCCCUUGUGUCGAAUCAACAAAUUUGGGUUGAAUACUCUAUCCUCGAAAACUGUUGCGAACCCCUAUACUUGUGGGUUAUCAAGACUAUUUUCUGGCGCCGUUGUCGGGGAAGCCUAGCUCUAUUCUCCGAGUCAGUUGGGAUUUACGUCUGUUGAUCACUAUGAGGAAUCCGAGAGAUCCGAAAACUAAAGUCUUGCCCUCAACUACGAGGACAGGUAAGGAACUGCCAUCUAGCUCUGCACUUGAUUCACCUUCAGUUAUGAGUAAGUUUGCGACACCACCACCUACUAGAAAUUCUAAUAUGUCACCUGUUCUUGAUGAUGCUACUUCUGCUAUCCAUGAUGCUUUGCUUGAUACUGCUUUGCCCCUAGGUGCAUUUCUUGAUGGACAAAUUGCUAGAGUUGCUGCUGAAUGUGAUGAUACUUCUGAAACUGUUGAAAAUUUUGAAGUAGAACCUAUUGUUUCACCUCUUAGAACUAGCUCUCCUAGAUAUGAAUUGCCUGAUAUACCUGAGGGUUAUGUGAUGGAGGGAGAGGUAGCUGGGGACUUUCUUCCUUGUAAGGAUAGCUAUGAUCUUGAGAAUUUACUGCGCAAGUGGAAGGAAAAAUCUCUGAAUGCUAGAAUGAAAUACGAUCCUAAGUUUGCUACUUCAGCCAUCUUUGUGACUGAUAAGGAUUAUGAAUUCUCUGUCGACCCUGAGUUAAUCACUUUGGUCGAAUGUGAUCCUUUUCAUGGUUAUGAGUCUGAAACGGUUGUAGCACAUCUUACCAAGCUGAAUGAUAUAGCCACCCUAUUCACGAGUGAGGAAAAGAUUCACCAUUACUAUAUCCUUAAGUUGUUUCCUUUCUCGCUAAAGGAUGAUGCUAAGACUUGGUUCACUUCUCUUGCUCCUGGUUGUGUGCGUAGUCCCCAGGAUAUGAUAUACUACUUCUCUGAGAAAUAUUUUCCUGCUCAUAAGAAAUAAGCUGCCUUGCAGGAUAUAUAUAACUUUGUGCAAGUUGAAGAAGAGAGUUUUCCACAAGCUUGGGGGAGGCUUGUCCAGUUACUGAAUGCUUUGCCUGAUCACCCUCUUGAGAAGAAUGAAAUACCUGAUAUCUUUUAUAAUGGACUGACCGAUGCUUCUAGGGACCACCUGGAUAGUUGUAUUAGUUGUGUUUUCAGGGAACGAACUGUGGAACAAGCUGAGAUUCUAUUGAAUAAUAUCUUGAGCAAUGAUAAUGCUUGGACUAUUCCCGAACCACCUCCGAAGCUAACUCCGAAGAAAAGAGGUAUUCUAUUCCUCAGUCCUGAAGAUAUGCAAGAAGCCAAGAAAUCUAUGCAAGAUAAAGGUAUUAAAUCUGAAGAUGUUAAGAAUCUACCACCCAUCAAAGAAAUACAUGGUCUUGAUAACCCGACACGGGUAGUAGAGGUAAAUUCUCUUCGUAGAUUCAAUGAGAGUGAUAUUCCUUUUGAUAAACCUGCUAGCUUAUGCUUAGAUGAAUUUGAUAACUUCGUUGCCAAACAACAAAGUUUCAAUGAUUAUGUUAGCACACAAUUGGAACAAAAUGCUCGUAUGCUUAGUCAUUUAAGUGCUUGUGUGUAUAGAAAUGUCAAUGAUCUUAAGCUUUUGAGUAUACAUGCCUCUAUGGUCACUACUCAAGUAGAACAAGCACCUAAGGCUCAAAAUGACUUGCUCAAUGAGUUGAAUGGCAAUUCUGUUAGAGUCGUCACUAGAGGUGGUAGAAUGACUCAGGAACCUUUGUAUCCUAAGGGCCAUCCUAAGAGAAUUGAACAAGAUUCUCAAGGAGUUAGCACUGAUGCAUCUAGUCAUCCUAGUGAUAGGAAGAAAAAGAAAGAUGAUAGGAACUGUCAUGCUAGCAAACCUGCUGCUGUUACACCUGAGAAUCCAAACGAUAUCUCUGUUUCUAAUGCCGAAACACGAUCUGGUGAUGAACAUGAGCCUAGUGAUAAUAUCGAUAGCGGUGUUCAUGAUGAUGCGCAACCUAGUGAUGAUAAGGUUGUGGAGAUUGAACCUAGUGUUGAUCUUGAUAACCCACAACCUAAGAACAAGAUAUAUGGUAAGAACGACUUCAUUGCUAGGAAGCAUGGGAAAGAAAGAGAACCAUGGGUUCAGAAACCCAUGCCCUUUCCUCCCAAACCAUCCAAGAAAAAGGAUGAUGAGGAUUUUGAGCGCUUUGUUGAAAUGAUUAGACAUGUCUUUUUGCAAAUGUGUUCAAAAUAUCUCCUUAUGCUAAGUACAUGAAAGGUAUUGUGACCGAUAAAAGGAAGAUACCCGAGGUUGAGAUUUCCACCAUACUUGCCAACUACGCCUUCAAGGGUGGAACUCCUAAGAAACUAGGUGGUCCCGGAGUGCCCACUAUACCUUGCUCCAUUAAAGGUGACCUUUCCUAGUGACAGUAGGGGCAGCAAGGCACACAUCGUGUAGUUGCCAUCAAGGGUACCAAGGUGGGCUCUGUCGUAGAUAUGAGAUUGUCCAUCUACAUCAUGUCAUCUUUCUUAAGGCGUUACUCUGUUCUUUUGAACUUAAUACACUAGAUGCAUGCUGGAUAGCGGUCGAAGUGUGGAGUAAUAGUAGUAGAUGAAGAAAGUAUCGGUCUACUUGUUUUGGACGUGAUGCCUAUAGAUAUAAUCAUUGCCAUAGAUGACAUCACGACUUUGCGCGGUUCUAUCAAUUGCUCGACAGUAAUUUGUUCACCCACCGUCUACUUGCUUUCAUGAGAGAAGCCACUAGUAAACACUACGGCCCCCGGGUCUAUUCACACCUAUCGUUUCCACUUUCGCUUUUACUUUGCUUUGUUACUUUCUUGCUUUCAGUUCUCACUUGGCGAACAAUCUAUAAGGGAUUUACAACCCCUUCAUAGCGUUGGGAGCAAGCCUUUUGUAUUUGUGCAAGGACUUGAGAUACUCCUUCAGUGGAUCGAUACCUUGGUUCUCAAACUGAGGGAAAUACUUACCACCGCUGUGCUACAUCACCCUUUCCGCUUCGAGGGAACACCAACGCAAGGCUCCAAGGGCACAGGGGAAAUCCUUUGCAUAUUCUCCCAGGAAGUCCCUUAAGGUGUAGCCGUAGCAGAAGGAUUCCUGGUGCCGUCAACACGACUAUUUCUGGCGCCAUUGGAAGGUCUUUUGUUGCAGUAGCAGAGAGCUAGUCAGGGGGAUGCGCCAGUGGGCCACAAGCCCAGGAGGCCCGGCCACCCCCCUGGCCGGGCCUGGCAGGCUUGUGGGCUCCACGUGGCCCCCUCCACUUAUUCCAGCUCCCAUCUCCUUCUCCUACCUCUAGAAAAAUUUAUUCCAUAACUCAAACCCGUGUUCUUGCUCCUCUUGCUGCAUUUUUCGAUCUCCUUGUGCAAAGCCCCAUUCACUAAACUGUUUUGGGGAAAUUGUUCCUUGGUAUGUGACUCCUCCAUUGGUCCAAUUGGUUUUUGCUUUAGUGCUUUAUUCGUUGCGUAUUUUUGCUGCCUUGGUGACCCUGUUCUUGAGCUUUGCAUGUUCAUUUUAGUUGGUCCAAGUAUUUUUGAUGCAUGAUAUUGCCUCUAGGCACUUGCAGGAGUAGUGGUAUGAGUUUUUGUUGAGCCUCGUUCACUUUUCUCUUGAGUCAGUAAAAGUUUCAGAUAUUGUCACAGAAAGAAAAAGGAAAAGAUGAGGAGGUUCCUAAGAGGCUCUUCAAGCCGUAACCCCAAGGAAGAUGAAAAUGAGAAGAAGAAACCCAAGUAUCUGAUCCCCCGAGUUGCAGAAGUUCGAGCGUGCGAGUGGCCAAGCGAUGUGUUCUUACAUGCCACCGGUCUUUAUGAGGAUUUUUAUUACUUGGUGGAGAACGCUGGCCUUACCGCAUUUGUUGAACAUAAGUGUCCACAAUACCUCCUCCUCACUAAUAUUUUCGUGCAAAGCUUUAAUUUCUAUCCUAGGAAGGAUCCUCCUAUGGUUGAGUUCAAGUUAUAUGAUAUCCCCCAGCACAUGUCACUUCAGGAUUUUUGCAAUGUUUGCAAAUUACCUUACGUUGGGGAUAUUUAUGAACCUCGUCCAUGGGACUUGGAGUCUUUCAUUGAUACUAUUGCUCUAGGAGAGGAGAGAGGAGUGUCUUGCGCUAGAGUUGCUAGCAUACAUUUUCCCGUGUUUCGGUAUCUUUCAUUAUUUGUGGGAAAAUGUUUGAUUGGCCGUGGGAAAGCUGGGGCUCUUAGCUCCCCAGAUCUUGCGGUUUUGCGCGAACCUCUUUAUAAUGAUAAAACUUAUAGCUUGGUCGCUAUAGUGGCUCAACAGUUGAACACGAACCGUACUAAAGGCGUUGUUUAUGGAGGUAUCUAUGCUACCUGUCUAGCUAAACAUUUUGAGAUACCUAUUAGACUGCACGAGGAAGAAGAGAUGCUUCUUCCUGAGAGAUAUCUAGAAUAUGAUAGCAUGAUUCGCCAUGACUUUCUUGAUAGAGAUAAUAAUAAGAGGAUGAUUUAUAACUUGGUGUUUAGCUAGGGUACUCGUGAGACUAUUACUUUGUUUGCUCCUUCUUUGUUCAAUCUUCAUCUAGGCAGGUACAUUAUUAUGCCCUCGGACAUCUACGCAUAUUGGGGCAUAGCGCCACCACAGGCGCCCGUGCCCGAGCUACCAGUCGAGUACCAGACGCCAGUUUAUCAGUGGGAGUCAGAGGAGCUCACCCAGCAGUGGCACCCUCAGUACACUCGGGAGUACCCCGGAGACGGUUAUUUCCCUCCGUGGGAGUAGACCAACUUAGGCCAAAAGCGUAAGCUUGGGGGACUACAUGUUUCUCACCGAGAUACCUCUCCGUCAUACGGAGUGACAAAUCCCAGUCUUGAUCCAUGCUAACUCAACGGACACCUUCGGAGAUACCUGUAGAGCACCUUUAUAGUCACCUAGUAACAUUGUGACGUUUGAUACACACAAGGUAUUCCUCCGGUGUCAAUGAAUUACAUGAUCUCAUGGUCAUAGGAAUGAAUACUUGACACGCAGAAAACAAUAUCAACAAAAUGACACGAUCACAUGCUACGUUCAUAGUUUGGGUCUUGUCCAUCAUAUCAUUCUCCUAAUGAUGUGAUCCAGUUAUCAAGUGACAACACUUGCAUAUGGUUAGAAAACCUUAACCAUCCUUGAUCAACUGGCUAGCCAACUAGAGGCUUACUAGGGACAUUGUUUUAUCUAUAUAUCCACACAUGUAUAUAUGCUUUCAUUCAGUACAAUUAUAGCAUGGAUAAUAAACGAUUAUCUUGAAACAGGAAAUACAAUAAUAACUAUUUUAUCAUUGCCUCUAGGGCAUAUUUCCAACAUUUCUCUCUCGUUUUUAUGGUCUCUUGGAGAUCCAUAUGAUGUAACUUGUUCUUUUGCGGUGUGUUUGUUGGGAUUCGAUGAAUUGUGAGUUUAUGAUCAGAUCUAUGAAAACAUAUCCAUGCUUCAUUAUUAUAGCCUCUUAUAUCUUCUCCGAUAUUUGGUUUUUGUCUCGCUAACUUGAUCUUUUAUCUUCCAAGGAAUAAGUGCUUUGUGAUGGGUUCGAUCUUGCGGCUCUCAAUCUUAGUGAAAUAAAGAUACAUGACACACAUGUAUCAUUGCUAUCAAGGAUAAAAUGAUGGGGUCUAUUCCUACAUGAAUAGAACUUGUCUAUAUCAUGUCAUCGUUCUUAAGGCAUUACUUCAUUUCUCCAUGAACUCAAUACACUAGGUGCAUGCUGGAUAGCGGUCAAUGUGUGGAGUAAUAGAAGUAGAUGUAUGCAGAAGUCGGUGUACUUAUCUUGGACGUCAUGCCUAUAUACAUGAUAAUUGUUUUAAAUAUCAUCAUCAUUAUUUGCUCUUCUAUCAAUUUCCCAACAGUAAUUUGUCUACCCACCGUUUGCUAAUUCUUGACAGAAGCCACUAGUGAAACCAACGACCCCCGGGUCUACUUCACAUCAUCUAUUUGCAAUCUCUAGUUUGCUAUUUGUGUUUCUACUUUAUUUGCUAUUUUGUUUUCAGAUCUAUAUUAUCAAAAAUCCCAAAAAUACCUUGCUGCGUUCUAUUUUCUAUCACUCUUAUUUGCAUCUAACAAUCUAUCCCUACUUUACCCACGAGGAAUUGACAACCCCUCCACGCGUUGGGUUGUGAGGAUUUGCUAUUUGUGUGCAGGUGCUACUUACAUAGUAUUGUGGAUCUUCCUACUGGAUUGAUACCUUGGAUUCUUAAUUCAGGGAAAUGCUUCCCGUUGGUGUGCUACAUCACGCUUUAAGCUUGGAGGGAAACCAACGCAUCAGCGAGACUAAGCAUCUCUCAUGGUAGAUCUUCAUGAAGUAGGCGAAGUGUAAGGGGGGGCGUGAUUAGACUACUUGACCAAAUAAAAACUUAGCCUUUUCCCAAUUUUAGUUGGGGGCCAGUUUUAGCAAUUGUAACUAGUCAAGUUCACCCUACACAUGCAUAUUUAAAAGUAUGACAACGAAAAGUAAAGGCAUGCAAAUGUAAUGUAGAGGGCAGGGAAGGAAGAUGAAACGCAAAGGUUGACAUGGCGAUUUUAGGCGUGGUUCCGAUAGGUGAUGCUAUCGUACGUCCACGUUAGUGGAGACUUCAACCCACAGAGUGUAACGGCUGCGAGAGUCCACGGAGGGCUCAACCCACAAGGGGUCUACGAAGAAGCGGGCUUGUCUAUUCCACUAUGGCUUACGUCCAUAGAGGACUGGCCUCACUCACGGUAGAUCUUCACGAAGUAGGUGAUCUCCUUGCCCUUACAAACUUCUUGGUUCAACUCCACAACACGAUGUUGUUGCGGAACGUUGCAUGGGAAACAAAAAUUUUCCUAUGCACACGAAGACCUAUCAUGGUGAUGUUCAUCUAUGAGAGGGAGAUUUGAUCCACAUACCCUUGUAGAUCGCUCAGCGGGAAGUGUUAAGAAAUGCGGUUGAUGUAGUGGUACAGCUUCAUGAUUCAAAUCACCGUCGUUCCACGAUCCGUUCUGAUCUAGCGCCGAACGGACGGCACCUCCAUGUUCAACACACAUACAGCUCGAUGACAAUCUCGGCCUUCUUGAUCCAGCAAGAGAGACAGAGAAGUAGAUGAGUUCUCCGGCCGCGUGACGACGCGCCGGUGUUGGUGAUGAUCUAUUCCUCCAGGGCUCCGCCCGAGCUCCGCAGAAAUCUAAUCUAGAGGAAGAACUACGAGGUGUAGGUUUGAGUUGCACGUGGCAAUGUUGUGUCUCAAAAGCCCUAAAACCACAAGUAUAUAUAGGAGGAGCCAAGGGGUGGGGCAAGCCCUUAGGGCACCGGCCAAAGAGUCCAUCCUUGGGUCGGCCGAAGUGGGAGGGAGGAGUCCUUCUCCAAUCCCACUUGGAUUAGGACUCCUUCCUUAUUUUCCCACCUCUUUUGGAUUUUCCACUUUUUCCUCAUGGGCUUUCCUUGGAUGACUUUGUCAGCCCAUUAUACCUUAUUGUGCAUCCAAUAAGCCCACAUGGACCCCUUGGGGCAUGGUGGGCCCACCUAGUGGGCCCCCGGAACCCAUUCGUCACUCCAGGUACAGUGCCGACAAUGCGUGGAAACUUUCCGGAAUCCAAAUACCAACUUCCUAAAUAUCAAUUUUCGUUUCUGGACCAUUUCGGAACUCCUCGUGACGUCCAGGAUCUCAUCCGAGACUCCGAACGAAACUUCGGUCACCAACACAUAUAACUCAACUAUACUGAAACGUCACCGAACCUUAAGUGUGCACACCCUGCGGGUUCGAGAACUAUGCAAACAUGACCUGAGACACUCUCUGGUCAAUAACCAAUAACCAAGUCACUCGGCCAGAUCGCGUUGGACGUCGUUUUCGGCUCCGACAAGAACUUCCGCAUGGAAAAGCUGACGUUCGAAGUGGUGGUCUUCCAGAGCGCUUACCAUGCAAUUCUGGGCCGCCCAGCGUAUGCGCGUUCCAUGGCCCGUCCGUGUUACGUAUACCUGAAGCUGAAGAUGCCAGGCCCGAAAGGUGUGAUCACCACCACGGGCAAUCGACAGCGGGCUGAAGAGUGUCUGCAGCAGGGAUCAAGAAUCGCCGACCAGCAGAUGGCCGUCCUCGAGCUUGACGAGUACAAGAAAACAGUCGACCCCGCUGACUUGAUGCGUUCGAAGAAGCCAGCUUCGGAGUCUGCAUUCCAGUCGGCGGGAGAGAUGAAGAAAGUCAGCAUCCACCUGACGGACGACACUGCUGCCCCGACGAACACCUCCACCACCCUCGAUCCUAAAUAGGAAGCCGAGCUCACCCAAUUCUUCCAUGAGAACUGGGACAUCUUCGCAUGGAAACCCUCUGACAUGCGAGGUGUACCCAGGGAGUUGGCUGAGCACCGACUGCAUGUGGAUCCCACCGCUCGGCCUGUCCGAGAACGCCUGCGUCGGUCCGCCGCGCAUAAUAGGAAGUUAAUCGGAGAAGAGGUAGCCAAGCUUUUGGCAGCCAACUUCAUUCGCGAGGUUCACCACUCUGAGUGGCUCGCCAAUGUUGUCAUGGUUCCCAAGAAGGACAAGUCGCUUCGAAUAUGCAUCGACUUCAAGCACCUCAAUAAGGUCUGCCCGAAAGACCAUUUUCCGCUCCCGCGCAUCGAUCAAAUUGUUGAUUCGGCUGCGGGUUGCGAGCGUUUGUCAUUUCUUGAUGCCUACUCGGGCUAUCAUCAGAUCCGUCUGUAUGGCCCCGAUGAAUUAAAAACAGCCUUCAUCACCCCAUUCGGGUGCUUCUGCUACAUCACUAUGCCAUUCGGUUUGAAGAAUGUAGGAGCUACCUUUAUGAGCAUGAUCCAAAAAUGCCUCCUCGACCAGAUCGGUCGGAAUGUGGAGGCGUAUAUGGAUGAUAUCGUAGUCAAGUCACGCAAAGGUUCCGACCUGCUAACUGACUUGGCAGAAACAUUUGCCAACCUUCGUAGGUACGAUAUCAAGCUCAACCCCGCCAAAUGUUCAUUCGGCGUUCCCAGUGGAAAGUUACUCGGUUUCUUCGUUUCCGAACGAGGGAUCGAUGUCAACCCCGAAAAGAUCGGGACCAUCGUCCGAAUGGAGAGGCCGGUCAGAAUACACGAUGUUCAACGGCUCACAGGUUGCCUAGCGGCUUUGAGCAGGUUCAUGAGUCGACUCGGCGAGAAAGCACUUCCUCUGUACCGACUCAUGAAGAAAUCAGAUACUUUCGAGUGGACAGACAAAGCCCAAGUCGCAUUCGACGACCCCAAAGUCCUACUUUCCACCCAUCCGGUUCUUACUGCUCCGCUCAGUAAAGAGCCCCUUCUUCUGUAUAUCGCGGCUACAAAUCAAGUCGUCAGCACUGUUCUUACAGUCGAACGAGAAGAACAAGGCAAAGCAUACAAAGUUCAGCGGCCAGUGUAUUACGUCUCCGAAGUCCUAACUCCUUCCAAGCAGAGGUAUCCCCACUAUCAAAAACUUAUCUACGGGAUUUACAUGACUGCGAAGAAGGUAGCCCAUUAUUUCCAAGACCACUCGGUGUCUGUCGUUUCUGAUGCUCCGUUGGCGGAAAUCCUCCACAAUCGGGAUGCAUCAGGCCGAGUGGCGAAGUGGGCAAUGGAGAUGUUGUACUGCGAUAUCAAGUUCGAGGCCAAGAAAGCUAUGAAGUCUCAAGCCCUGGCUGACUUCAUAGCAGAAUGGGUAGAACAACAGCAACCGACCCACAUCUACUCGGCUCAUUGGACAAUGUUCUUCGAUGGGUCCAAGAUGUUGAAUUGCUCCGGCGCUCGCGUUGUGAUCGUAUCGCCAAAGGGCGACAAACUCAAAUAUGUGCUGCAGAUACACUUUGAUUCCUCCAACAAUGAGGCAGAGUAUGAAGCUCUCCUUUAUGGACUGCGUAUGGCCAUCGCACUCGGCGUCCGUCGCCUGAUGGUCUAUGGCGAUUCGGAUUUGGUGGUUAAUCAAGUGAUGAAAGAGUGGGACAUCAGGAACCCCACCAUGACCACAUACUGCAAUGCAGUGAGGAAGCUCGAGAAGAAGUUUGAAGGUCUAGAACUCCACCAUGUUCCACGACUGAAGAACCAAGCAGGUGAUGAGUUGGCAAACCUUGGAUCCACUCGGAAACUAGUCCCGAGUGACGUCUGCCUCGAGCACCUCCACCUUCCCUCAGUCAAAGAAGAUCCUUUCACAGAGGAACCAGUACAACCAAAGAGUUCGACAGAUCCGACUAAAGCCGACGUACCUGCUAUGGUUGAUCUGGUCAUGGAGAUUCUUGCUGUCAUCCCCGAUUGGACUGUGCCGAUCAUUGCAUAUAUCCUGAGGCAGGAAUUACCAGAAGACGAAGUCCAGGCCAGGCAGAUAGUCCGCAGGUCGAAGUCGUUCACUGUCAUUGAUGGCCAGUUGUACAAGGAAAGCGUUUCAGGCGUUCUUCAACGAUGCAUCUCCCCAGAGGAGGGACAGUUAAUCCUGGAAGAUAUUCACUCGGGAACCUGCGGUCAUCUCGCCUCUUUGAGAGCGAUCGUCGCCAAAGGAUUCAGAGCUGGUUUCUUCUGGUUGCAGGCAAACGAAAUGGCUAAAGAUAUGGUCGACCGAUGUGAAGGCUGUCAGUUCUACUCCAACAAGUCCCACAAGCCAACGUCUGCGUUGAAGACAAUCCCUCUUGUGUGGCCGGUUGCAGUACGGGGAUUAGAUACAGUCGGUCCAUUCAGGACAGGCCAAGGAGGAUACACACAUUUGUUGGUGGCAGUCGACAAGUUCACAAAAUGGAUUGAAGCCAAGCCCAUCAAGAAGCUCGACGCCCUAACAGCCAUCAAGUUUGUCACGGACAUCAUCUCCAGAUUCGGUGUACCUCACAGCAUCAUCAUGGACAACGGGACAAACUUUGACUCGGACAGAUUCAAAGGUUUGUGUGCAGGCCAAGGUAUCCGAGUGGAUUUGGCAUCCGUGGCGCAUCCUCAAUCCAAUGGGCAUGCAGAGCAGGCGAAUGGACUUAUUCUGCAAGGUUUGAAGCCCCGACUCCUGCGAGAGGUGGGACAUGCCGCUGGCGCAUGGGUCACCAAGCUACCUUCAGUGCUUUGGGGUCUUCGCACAACCCCGAACAGAUCUACAGCGCGAUCACCGUUCUUCCUCGUUCACGGAGCAGAAGCAGUCCUUCCGACUGACUUGCUUCACAAUGCUCCACGAGUCGAACUCUUCUCCGAAGCUGAAGCACAACAAGCAAGGCAAGAAGGAGUGGACCUUCUAGAGGAGGAGCGCGAGAUGGCACUGACUCGCUCAACCAUUUAUCAACAAGAUCUACCGCGUUUUCACGCACGACACGACAGGAGUCGCACGUUCCAAGCAGGCGACCUGGUGCUCAGAGUGGAUCAGCAAAGACCUCACAAGUUGGCUCCUGCCUGAAAGGACCCUUCAUCAUCUCCAAGGUGCUGAACAACGGAGCAUACAGACUCUACAACAUCGACAGGGAGACAGACGAGCCGCGAGCAUGGAACGGAGAUCUCCUGAAGCGCUUCUACACGUGACCGUUGACUGAAGCAAUGUAAAGAACAAGUAUUGGUGAAAUAAUAUAAAGCAGAUUAAGCUUUCGCAGAUCCAAAGUUCUUCCAUGGUCGCAGACUCCGGUCUCAACAAAAAUAAUAAUAAUAAACUUAGCUGCGAUCUAGAAUCGCCGAAGUAUUAACUUUCUCCGAGUGUGCACUUAACGUCACACUCAGGGACUUAGCUGCGAUCCAGAAUCGCCUAAGUAUUACCUUUCUCCGAGUGUGCACUUAACGUCACACUCAGGGACUUAGCUGCGAUCCAGAAUCGCCUAAGUAUUACCUUUCUCCGAGUGUGCACUUAACGUCACACUCAGGGACUUAGCUGCGAUCCAGAAUCGCCUAAGUAUUACCUUUCUCCGAGUGUGCACUUAACGUCACACUCAGGGACUUAGCUGCGAUCCAGAAUCGCCUAAGAAUUAACUUUCUCCGAGUGCGCACUUAACGUCACACUCGAGGACUUAGCUGUGAUCCAGAAUCGCCUAAGUAUUACCUUUCUCCGAGUGUGCACUUAACGUCACACUCGGGGACUUAGCUGCGACCCAGAAUCGCCUAAGUAUUAAAUUUCUCUGAGUGUGCACUUAACGUCACACUCGGGGACUUAGCUGCGAUCCAAAAUCGCCUAAGUAUCAAUUUUCUCCGAGUGUGCACUUAACGUCACACUCGGGGACUUAGCUGCGAUCCAAAAUCGCCUAAGUAUCAAUUUUCUCCGAGUGUGCACUUAACGUCACACUCGGAGACUUAGCCGCGAUAACGAAUCGCCUAAGUACUCACUGAGGCUCAUGUGGAUGUCAAAACAACUGACAAUUACAUGAGUAGCAGAACCUCAUUGAUGCUCAUGUGGAUGUCAAAACAACUGACAACUACAUGAGUAACAACUCGCCCCGAGUGCGACCUGAUAGUCGCACUCGACAACUUAGCUGUGAUCCUGUAUCGCCCAAGUACUCUAUGACCUUCGAGUGUGUCCUACAGAUCCACUCGGUGAUCCUACAGAUCCACUCGGAGAUUCUUCAAGACCCUCAGUGAGGCUCAUGCAGAUGUCAAGACAACUGACAUACUCCGCAUGUUUGCCUUUGGCUUCACCAAGAAACGCCAAACAAAAACUCGAGCCAAAAUCGUCUCAACAACUCUUUGGCAAAAGAAGAGCAAAAGAUUCGAUUCAAAUUCCAAGUUCACAUAAAGAUAGUUGGCUCGGUGUGGAUCAAGCUUACCCACACCGAACCAAGAACUUGAUGGCCAACAGCAGUGGCCAAAGUUUCUUACAAAUCAACACUCGGCAUACCGAGGAUAAAGUUUUCUCAAACAACGUCAGGACUGGCGCCGGGACUGGCACGCUCUACGAAUGUGUCCAGGUCGAUCCCGUCGGCGAUGCGAGUGGCGCUCUCAAAGAAGGUUUCCAUGAAGUCUUCGAACCGAAGUUUCUUCGUGUUGGCGACCUACAACGCUUUCAGCUUCUCUUCGCGCACCUCCUUGCAAUGCACUCGGACAAGAGACAGAGCAACGUCCGUGCCACAGCGAGCCGCAGAUUUCAUCCAUGACUGCACUUGGUUUGGGACCUCCUCCAGCCGAGUCAUCAAGCCUUCCAUCUCAUGCCGAGACUCGUCCUCAGGCCAAAGCUCCUUGUCAAUCCGACCGGCGACUACUCUCAGUCGACCGAUGAAAGGCCCAACUUUGCCCAGGAGAAUGUGCGCUCGGAGAAGAUCUCGAUUGGCGUCCUCCCGAGUGGAAUGUUCUCACGCAUCGACCGCUCCACGUCAGCUGCUUCAGCCUCAGCGUCCAUGCAAAAAUCUGCAAACACAGGACGAGCAAAUAAUAAGCGCCGAGUGAAAAUCUCAGACCAGAGGCACUCGGAAAAACAGGACUUACCACCCAGACGCAUUAUCAUCUGCCGGGCCCAGUCACUGACGUAUUUUUCCUGCGCUAUACACCGCUUCUUCAGCACAUCCAUUUGUCCCUGUUGGAAUUAUGCCCUAGAGGCAAUAAUAAAUAUAGUUAUUAUUAUAAUUCCUGUAUCAAGAUAAUCGUUUAUUAUCCAUGCUAUAAUUGUAUUGAAUGAAGACUUAUAUACAUGUGUAGAUACAUAGACAAAACACUGUCCCUAGCAAGCCUCUAGUUGGCUAGCCAGUUGAUCAAAGAUAGUCAGUGUCUUCUAAUUAUAAACAAGGUGUUGUUUCUUGAUAACUAGAUCACGUCAUUAGGAGAAUCGCAUGAUGGACUAGACCCAAACUAAUAGACGUAGCAUGUUGAUCGUGUCAUUUUGUUGCUACUGUUUUCUGCGUGUCAAGUAUUUGUUCCUAUGACCAUGAGAUCAUAUAACUCACUGACACCGGAGGAAUACUUUGUGUGUAUCAAACAUUGCAACGUAACUGGGUGACUAUAAAGAUGCUCUACAGGCGCAAUGUAACUGGGUGACUAUAAAGAUGCUCUAUAGGUAUCUCCGAAGGUGUUCGUUGAGUUAGUAUGGAUCGAGACUGGGAUUUGUCACUCUGUGUGACGAAGAGGUGUCUCGGGGCCCACUCGGUAAUACAACAUCACACACAAGCCUUGCAAGNNNNNNNNNNNNNNNNNNNNNNNNNNNNNNNNNNNNNNNNNNNNNNNNNNNNNNNNNNNNNNNNNNNNNNNNNNNNNNNNNNNNNNNNNNNNNNNNNNNNUGACACUAUAGAAUACUCAAGCUUGCACCCUGCCACCACGGGGGUAGGUGGCGGUGGGGGGGCUUGUGGCCCACUGGUCAGGCCCCCUGACCAGCUCUCAGGCCCAGAAAUUUUCAAAAAUUUCAGAAAAAAUCAUACUAAAUUUUCAGGACCAUCGGAGAACUUUUAUUUUCGAGGUAUUUUUCUCCGGGACGCUAAAACAGAAAACAGGAAAAGCUAACUAAUUCUAUCAUUUUUCUUGUAAGCAACAGAAAAAUAAAACUCAAAACAGAGGUAUGUGACUCUUUGAUUCAUCCAUCUCAUGGUCAUCGAAAGAAAUCCGUCAAUGGGGUUGAUCAAGUCCUUAUGACAAAACCUUCUUGAAUCGCAAGAGAGAACGGAGAAUUUUCGAAUAGCCACUAAGUCACGUCAAUGGGGAUAUGGAUCUCCCCAACAAGCAAAACAUACAUCAUCUUGACACGAGGAAUAGGGCAUUCAAAGCUCCCAAUGAGAAUCGAUGAAGUCUUUUAGAUAGCAUUGAUGCAAUGUACUGGAUAUCGUUUCUUUGGAAAGUGCACUGUGUGCUCAUUACCGUUGACAUGGAAAGUGACAUUGCUUUUUUUGCAAUCUAUAACAGCCCUCGCAGUGUUUAAAAGGGUCUUCCGAGGAUGAUAGCCAUGGCAUCGUCCUCGGGAAUAUCCAAGAUAACAAAGUCUGUUAAGAUAGUGGUAUUAGCAACCACAACAGGCACAUCCUCGCAAAUGCCGAUAAGGAAAGCAGUUGAUUUGUCGGCCAUUUCAGAGAAAUUUCAGUGGGUGUCAACUUAUCCAACUCAUCAAGUCUACGAUAAAGAGAGAGCAGCAUAACACUAACACCGGCUCCAAGGUCACAUAAGGCAGUUCUUACGUAGUUUCCUUUAAUGGAGGAAGGUAUAGUGGGCACUCCAGGAUCACCAAGUUUCUUAGGAGUUCCACCUUUGAAAGUAUAAUUGGCAAGCAUGAUGGAGAUCUCAAGAUCUGGUAUCUUCCGUUUAUUAGUCACGAUAUCUUUCAUGUACUUGGCAUAUGGAGACAUCUUGAGCAUAUCAGUUAACCGCAUCUGCAGAAAGACGGGUCUUAUCAUCUCAACGAAGCGCUCAAAAUCCUCAUCAUCCUUUUUCUUGGAUGGCUUAGGAGGAAAGGGCAUAGGUCUCUGAACCAUGGCUCUCUUUCUUUACCAUGCUUCCUAGCAGUGAAGUCAUUCUUGUCGUAUCUCUUAGGUUGUGGAUUAUCAGGAUUAACCGUAGGUUCAAUCUCCACAUCCUCGUCAUGGCUAGGUUGAGUAUUAUUAUGAACAUCACUGUCCACAUUGUCACCAGGUUCAUGUUCAUCACUUGAUUGUGUUUCCUCAUCAGACGCAGAAAUAUCAUUAGGUUCUUCAGGUGUGAUAGUAUUUGGUGAAUUGGCGUGCAGGUUUCUAUCAUCCUUCUUCUUCUCCUUAGGAUGACUAGGUGUAUCAGCAUUGAUUCCUUGAGAAUCUUGAUCAAUUCUCUUAGGAUGACCUUCAGGAUACAAAGAUUCCUGAGUCAUUUUUCCUGCUCUAGUAAUGACUCUGACAGAGUUGUCAUUUAAUUCAUUGAGCAGGUCAUUCUGAGCUUUAAGUACUUGUUCUGCCUGAGUAGUAUUCAUAGAGACAUGUUUACUCAGAAGCUUCAGAGCAUUGACAUUUCUGUCUACACAAGCACUUAAAUGGCUAAGCGUACGAGUACUUUGUUCCAAAUGUCUGCUAACAUAAUCAUUGAAACCUUGUUGUUUGGCAACAAAGUUGUCAAACUCAUCAAAGCAUAGGCUAGCAGGUUUAUCAAAAGGAAUAUCACUCUCAUCAAACCUACGCAGAGAAUUCACUUCUACUACCUGUAUCGGGUUAUCGAGACCAUGGAUCUCUUCGAUCGGUGGUAGAUUUUGGGCAUCUUCAGAUCUAAUGCCUUUCUCUUGCAUAGAUUUCUUGGCUUCUUGCAUAUCUUCAGGAUUGAGGAAUAGAAUACCUCUUUUCUUAGGAGUUGGCUUAGGAGGUGGUUCGGGAAUAGUCCAAGCAUUAUCGUUGAUCAAGAGGUUAUUCAGUAGGGUCUCAGCUUGCUCUACAGUUCGUUCCCUAAAAAGACAACCGGCACAACUAUCUAGGUAGUCUCUAGAGGCAUCGGUAAGUCCGUUAUAGAGGAUAUCAAGUAUCUCGUUCUUCUUAAGAGGGUGAUCAGGCAAAGCAUUAUGUAGCUGGACGAGCCUCCCCCAAGCUUGUGGAAGACUCUCUUCUUGGAGUUGAGCAAAGUUGUAUAUUUCUUGCAAGGUAGCUUGCUUCUUAUGGGCAGGGAAAUAUUUCUCACAGAAGUAAUAGACCAUCUCCUGGGGACUACGCACACAUCCAGGAGUAAGAGAGGUGAACCAGGCUUUAGCGUCAUCCUUUAGAGAGAAAGGAAACAACUUAAGGAUAUAGUAGUGGCGAAUCUUCUCCUCAUUAGUGAAAAGGUUGGCUAUUUCGAAUAGUUUGGCAAGAUAGGCUAUGACCGUCUCAGACUCAUAACCGUGAAAAGGAUCAGAUUCGACUAGAGAGAUUAUCUCAGGGUCGACAGAGAAUUCAUAAUCCUUAUCGGUGACAAAGAUAGGCUAAGUGGCAAACUUCGGAUCAUUUUUCAUCCUAACUUCCCGAGAUUUUUCCUUCCACUUGAGAAUUAAUUUUUCAGCGACAUAGGCAUCCUUACAUGCCAUAAAAUACUCAGCUAUUUAUCCCUCCAUAACGUAACCCUCAGCUAUAUCAGGAAAUUCAUAUCUAGGAGAGCUAGAUCUAACUGGAGCAAAAGUAGGUUCUAUCUCAAUAGUAUCGAUAGUUUCAGAAGCAUCAUGAGCAUUGGCAGUAACUCUAGCAAUAUGAGCAUCAAGGAACACUAAUAAUGGAACAUCAGGCAAAGGAGUAUCUCUAGCAGUAUCAAGCAUAGCAUCAUCACGCAAAAUAGCAUCUCUAGCAUCAUCAGGCAAAGAAGUAUCAAGCAUAGCAUCUCUAGCAGUAUCAGGCAUAGUAUCAAGCAUAGCAUCUCUAGCAGUAUCAAGCAUAGUAUCAUCAGACAUAGUAUCAAGCAUAGCAUCAAGCAUAGCAUCUCUAGCGGUAGUAUCACAAGCAUCAUCAAGCACAUGCGACAUAUCAAGAUUUCUAGCAGGAUGUGAUGUCGCAAACUUACUCAUAACUGAAGGUGAAUCAAGUGCAGAGCUAGAUGGCAAUUCCUUACCUCCCCUCGUAGUUGAGGGCAAGACUUUGGUCUUCGGAUCCUUCAGAUUCUUCAUAGUGAUCAGCAGAUAUAAAUCCCAAGUGACUCAGAGAAUAUAGCAAUACCUCCCCAGCAACGGCGCCAGAAAAAUGCUGACGUCAGCUGUGCUUCCCUGGCAAUGGCUCCAGAAAAGGGCUGAUACUGCAAUCUCUGGCGCUAGCUAGACGAAUGCUUAUGACAACAAACCUUCCCCUAGAACAGCACCAGAAGAAUGCUGAAAGCACUCCCUAGUAAUGAGACUAGAAGAAUGUUGUUGAUGGCCCACCAGCACGUGGGUUCGCAGCAGUUUUCGAGGGUAGAGUAUUCGACCCAAAUUUGUAGGUAAGCCGGUCAGGAGGUCAGAGUAUACUCUCAAGUAUUAGCAGCUGAAUUUUUCGGAUUCAACCACACCUGAAAGAUUAGUAUCUGCAAGCACAGUAGUAACAUCAAAGUAGUAUGAGAAAAACGGUGUCAGAAACGAUCUGUUGAUGACAGACUAUUCCUAACAAUUGUAUCAAUGGCGCCUCCGUUGCCGCGUCGACGAAAGUUGUCAAUUCACGUCAACAGUGUGGCGAAUCAACAGUGUAGUAGGUAGUAGCAGUGUAACGAGCAAUAGCAGUGGCAUGGAACAGCAGUAGUGAUAGCAGUAGCAAGUAGCAACAGUAGCAAGCGACAGUAGUAGCAACAGUAGCAACAGCAGGAGAGCAAAACAAGUAAUAGCAGUAGCAACAGUAGUAGCAGUAGCAGAGCAAGACAAGUAACAGUAGUAGCAAUAGUAGUAGCAGCAGCAGAGCAAGACAAGUAACAGCAGUAGCAACAGUAGUAGCAGCAGCAGAGCAAGACAAGUAACAAGAGUAGCAACAGUAGUAGCAGCAGCAGAGCAAGACAAGUAACAGUAGUAGGACAAACUCAUAGGCAAUGGGUCGGUAAUUUGUUUGGAUGAUAUUCAUCAUGCAACAGCUAUAAUACAGAGAGAUAUGUGGCUAGCUCCCGUUCGUCAAUGUGAUGUACGCAUGCAUUUCGUGUGUCGUCAUACGUGCUUAGGGAAAAGAACUUGCAUGACAUCUAUUGUCCAUCCCUCUGGGGGCAGCGGGGUCCAAAAGGAAACUACGGGAUAUUAAGGUUCUCCUUUUAAUAAAGAACCCGACCAACACAUUAGCACUUGGUGAACACAUGAACUCCUCAAACUAUGGUCAUCACCGGGAGUGGUUCCGGUUAUUGUCACUCCGGGGUUGCCGGAUCAUAACACAUAGUAGGUAACUACAACUUGCAAGAUUGGAUCUAAAACACACAUAUAUUGGUGACAACAUAAUAAUUUCAGAUCUGAAAUCAUGGCACUCGGGCCCUAGUGACAAGCAUUAAGCAUGGCAAAGUAGCAGCAACAUCAAAUCUCAGAACAUAGUGGAUACUAGGGAUCAAUCCCCAUCAAAACUAACUCGAUUACAUGAUAGAUCUCAUCCAACUCAUGACCGCCCAGCGAGCCUACGAAUAGAUUACUCACGAACGACAAAGAGCUUCAUGGAAUUGGAGAGGGAAGAAGGUUGAUGAUGACGAUGGCGACGAUUUCCCCUCUCCGGAGCCCAAGACGGACUCCAGAUCUUCCCUCCAGAUGAAGAACACGUGGUGGCGGCGCCUCCGUAUCGAAAACGCGAUGAAAACUUCUCUUUUUUUUCUGGGACGAAAGGCAACUUAUAGAGCUGGAGUUGGGGGCGGCAGGUGCCUGUGGGCCCCACAAGCCUGGCCACCGCCACCAGGGGGGUGGUGGCGGAGCACGGGCUUGUGGCCCACUGGCCCACCCCCUGAGGUGGAACUUGGCGCAGAUAUUUUUGAUAUUUUCCAAAACUGCUCCUCGUAAAUUUUCAGGAUGUUUGGAUAACUUUGAUUUCUGCACAAAAAUAACACCAAGGGAAUUCUGCUGAAAACAGCGUCAGUCCAUGUUAGUUCCAUUCAAAUCAUGCAAAUUAUAGUCCAAAACAAGGGCAAAAGAGUUUGGAAAAGUAGAUACGUUGGAGCCGUAUCACCUCCCUCGAGGCUGAUGCCGGCCGGCGACGGGUCCCCCUCGGCCGAUCUACGCCACACCGGCCCACGCUGGGGCCGCACCGGAUCCGGCCGCCAACUCCCGCGCCACGGACGGCCACCGCCCUGCCUCGCCGGUGCCCAGUGCGCUCGAGACUAGCGCUGGCCACCACCACCGCCGGCUCCCUCCCUCGUCCGUGCCUCUAGCACCGGCAACCAACCCCCGUCGUCACCGCGCCGCCUCCGUGCCGCCACCACCUCUCCGCCACCGGAACCGCAUUGCCGGAACAGGACCUCAUCGGCUCCAUCACCGAAUCGCUCCGUCGAGCCUCCCCCGAGCCGCUUUUGCACCUCACGCUCGAUGUGAGCCCCCCUGUUUCUCGCCUUCUUGUCGCCGUUCCAGCGACCAAACGGCCGUUGCACCGCCCUCCUCGGCCCCCUGACCACGCACCACCACGCCUCUGGCCUCGCCUCAGCCCGCAACAGUUUGCCUCAUUCGCCCCGUUCGCCCUGGACACCGGUGUCUCGCCCCCUCCCACCGGCCACACCGGCCCUGGCCGCCGGCGCCGUGUGCCCAGCGUGCCCUGUCCAUGGCAGCCCCUGGCCCCCAGACACCCCCAACCGAGCUGGUUAGUGCGGCGGAUUAACCUCCCCCACUAACCCCUUUUUUGUAUGUAUGAGAAUGAUAGAGGGGGCGAGGAACCCCCUUCUAAAUAUAUAUAUACAUAUAUGGGUCCCUCACUAAAUUAACCUGAUUAAUUAAUACUCCCUCUGUAAACUAAUAUAAGAGCGUUUAGAUUACUAAAAUAGUGUUUUAAAUGCUCUUAUAUUAGUUUACGGAGGGAGUAAUUAACUUUAAUUAAAAAUUGUGUCAAUAACACCUUGGACCCACUCGUGAGUUCACGAGUCAACUUGUGAUGUCAGCAUGACAUCAUGGUGAUGUCAUAAUAGCAUUUACAUAAAUUAAUUAAAUCUGUUUUUAAUUCCUAAUUAGUAAAUAAAACUUCAAAAAUUAAUAUAAAAUAAUCCGUAACUCGGAUGAAAAUAUUUUCAACAUGAAAGUUGAUCAGCAAAGCGAGACGUACACGGAUACGCGGUCCAUUCGUUUGUCACGCGUCCCUAGCAUAGCAAACAUGGAACUUUUUCAUCGUUUUUAGUCUGACCGUUAGUAGCCACGGACCCGGAAAAUAUCGUGAGAUAUUGUUCCGACCCGUCUAUGACGGAUGUUACUGCGUUAGCUCAUGCCUAGCUUGCAUAUUGCCAUGUCAUGCUUAGUGUUGCACCUGUUGCUGUUAUUUAUUGUUUCUCCCCCUCUUCUUACCGGUAGACCCCGAGACUGACGCAGCUACCGGCUACAUCUACGACCCUGCCGACCAGCCCUUUGCCGCGGAGCAACAAGCCAACCAAACCCCCUUGAUCAUCCCUAUAUCGCCCAUUCUUUCUUCCUCAUGCUUGCAUUAGAAUUUUCCUACUGUUGUAGUUAGCUCCUAUAUCUGAUGCAUAGCCUAACUUUGAUGAACUGCUACUUUUAGUACCGCACUUUUAAACUGUUUAGUAUAGGUGGAGCAGUCAUCCCCUCUGACCCCUUAGUCCAGUUGCCCCACUUAAUUGUCGAGUCUCGAUCCCUGAUCGACGACUAGAACCGAAACAACACUUACACCUCCCUUAGUUGUGCGACGCUACAGAGAUACUAUCGGGUACCGAGGGUGACACCUCGCGAAGUACUCCUGAUGAUAUCUCUGUAGUACAGCUAGUCGGUCGGGGUUAUCGAGGGUGAUUCCUCUUCACCAUUCCCGACGAUGCCUCUGUAGUGCAACCCCUCAAGUGUGGCACCCUCGAGGGUGAUUCCUCUAGGUCCACCUUGACGGAUACAUCGUUCGGAAUCCAACGAGGGUGAUACCUCAGAUUUCCCCUGAUGUUUCUACCACACAGUUACUUGACCACGUUACUGUGAUCUUUGAUGAAUAGAUGUUAGGUGGGUGGAUUCCUGCGUAUUUCUGUCGAUGAAAUAAUUAAAAUGAUAAUGGAUUUGGGUAUUUGAUCUGGGUUGGUCGGAGACCUUUUCGCACUAACCGGCUACGCGGGAAGAAUUAUGGGUACUCGAUGUCGCGGUAUCAGCCGAAGCUCUUCAGACGUCAGCGACGGAGCGGCGCGCGCCCGAGUGGUCCCGUGAUGCAUCGCUCUUGUAUUUAGGGGUGCUAGGACUGACAUCGGUUGCUCACGCAUCAUGCAGGAGCGCGGAGGGCAAGUGGGCCCAUGAACGCUUUGUGCUUAGGAGUUAGACCGGCGGGCUGGCCUCUCUGCUGAGCUUAGGUGGGGCUGCGACGUGUCGAUAUUCCGAGGCCGGGCAUGACACAGAAAAGUGUGUCCUCCCAGAGUGUUAUCGAGCGUGACGGGAAUCAUGGUGCACCCUUGCAGGGAUGAAAAUUAACUAUUUGAAUAGUUGUGUCCACGGUUACAGGACGACUUGGAGUUUUGCCCUAAUCUUAUACAACUACAAUUGUUACUUAACUGGAAUAGUUGCUCCAGGAUUGCUUCCUCGCACGGAGUCGAGGGAGGAUCUCUGGGCGUGACCUCAUAUUAUUUUUACUGCAACAAUAUGACUAUUAAUUGUGUUACCUUGUUCUACUCUCGUCUAUUGCUGCAAGACCCCUGAAGAUGCUAGUCUUCGAUAGGACUAGAGCUUCUCUCUCUAUUGUCAGAUUGCUGCAGUCAGUCCACAUAUAAACCCUUUCUUUGAUACUGAUGCAUACUUAGCAUAGUUCUGAUAUAAGUCUUGCAAGUACUUUGGAUGAGUACUCACCGUUGCUUUGCUCCCCCUUUGCCCCCUUGAUCUGUUGCUGCGACCACAUGUUGGAGCCCAGGAGAUGGAGUUUCCUGCCGACGACUACCAUCCUGAUGGUGACUUCUUCGUGGAGGCCGGUGAAGACUAGGAGUGGUUAGGAGGUUCCCAGGCAGGAGGCCUCGCCUCGUUCGAUCGUUGUAUCUUUUGUGCUAGUCUUCUCUAAGGCACCCCAUGUUUAUAUGUGUACUCAGAUAAUGUUGCUUCCGCUGACUCGUGUGUUUAUCGAGCUUCUGUAUUCUAGCCCUCGUGGCCCCCGGCUUGUAAUAUGAAGCUUGCAUUGUUUUAUUUUUUUCUAGAGUUGUGUUGUGAUAUCUUCCCAUGAGUCCUUGAGUUUGAUCGUACAAAAUUUGCAUGUAUGAUUAGCGUACGAUUAAAUCGAGGGCGUCACA
rnacentral:lncRNA from 1 species